ensembl:lncRNA
GGGGACUUUAACCAAUAAUAUCCACAAACAAUAACGCACCUAUACUGCCAGUAGGGGCAUUAAAAUUUCACAUAAUCUUGAUUUUGAUGUAUGUGUGUGCGCGUGUGUGUGUGUCUGUGCAAACGUGGCCGCAGCUUGUUAAACAGAUGCAUUCUGACAGGAAAUCGAGGAAGACAUGCUGACUGUCAACACUUGACUGCCAACAUAACAAAAUAAGGUCAUAAUUAUCUAUUGAAGUCGUUCAUUGCUAAAGACUAUCAAGAAGAACGCCAUCCCUCCAUCACCAAUCUACUUUAAACAUAAGAGCAGCUCUCCAUUAGGUAUCACUUAUGGGGGAGCUACACUUCAUAGCUUAAGCGAAACCAAGGAACUGUUGAUUCAGACAGGCUAUAGAUGUAAGACGACAAAGACAAACCAGUUCCUGUCUCUCUGGUGGUGUAGCUAACUUCCUGUGCCUCUGCUGCUGCUUGUGUUUGACGCUCUCUGUCAUCUGUGAGACUGCUGUUUUCACAGAUAUGGAUUUUUUGAUGACAGAUCCAACAUAUAAACUUCUUAUCUUUUUAUUCAUGAUACCAGGAAUGUACGGAGAUAUUAUUAAUUAUAAUGCCGCCGCAACUGCUGUGGAGGGACAGAACAUCAGCCUGCAGUGCAUUGUGGGAGAGGAGCAAAAUAUCACAAUUAUCCAGCUGGAAUGGAUUAAACAGCAAAAACCAAAUGAGAAGAAUGAUCAGAAGAUUGUUGUGUUCCAUCCUAUGUUGCCAACAUAUUAUUUUCGAUCCGGUUCUCUUCUGGAGACAGUGACCAGUUCAAAAACUGGGAAGCUGCAGGGCUCAAUCCUGACUCUGCGUGAAGUUACAGUGAAUGACAGUGGAAACUAUAUUUGCGAAAUUACUUCUUAUCCCAAUGGCUCAAUUAAAAGAAUCACAAAGCUGCAAGUGACAGAGCCUCCAGCAUCAGUGAGGAUGCCAUAUCCAUAUGGAUUCAUAAAAGAGGGGGAUGAUAUGAAAAUAACUUGUUCAGCGAUCCCUCCACCACUCCGUUAUAAACUUGGAAGGUCAAAGAACAAGACAUUUUGGAUGGAAAGCUCAAAUGGAGAGUUCAUUUUACCAAACGUCACCAGAAAUGACAGCGAUGUGUACAUCUGUUUACCUGAAUGGGACUCAUUAGUCCGAAAUCAGCAAGGUCUCAAUGCCACCGUCGAACUGACUGUGAAUUUUCUUGAUGGCAUUGAGUGUAACACAAGCAGCCCUUUAAACGUCAGUGUUGGUGAGGAUGUGAUGAUUUCUUGUAUCGCAAAAGCUUCACAGCACUUGCAGUAUAAGUGGAUGAGGGGUGACACAACACUGUCUCUUUUAGACACUUUGUCUCUGACCUCCGUAACAUCUGACCAGUCAGGAACAUACAAACUGACAGCUGUCUUUCUGGACAAUCAACUCCAGACAGACAUGGAGUUUUCUAUCCAUGUUCUCUCAAAGCAAAGCGAAGCCUCAAAAAGCUCAGCGUAUAUCGCUGUCCCGAUUGUGUUGCUGUUGCUCGGGUCGAUUGUGCUUUAAUACAGAAGACACCAGAACCAAAAAAAAAUGGAUAUGCCACCUCCAUUGAAACACUUCAGUGAGGAACCAUGAUGUCCCUAUGACGGAUAUUCUAGAAUCUAGUGUAUCAAGCACUUGAGAACCCACAAACCGUGGGCCACAAACAUGCUGACAGGAAGAUUUCUCCCUAAAGGCCAUGGAUUACUCAUCCUCACGAAGUUUCGUUCAUCUUCAAAACACAAAUUGAUAUAUUUUUAAUAAAACCUGAGAAUUUUCCUUCCUGCCUUUGAAA